AAGGGUAUAGCUCAGUGGUAGAGCGUGUGCUUAGCAUGCACGAGGUCCUGGGUUCAAUCUCCGGUAUCUCAA
rnacentral:tRNA from 1 species